rnacentral:rRNA from 1 species
CCUACGGGAGGCAGCAGUAGGGAAUAUUGGGCAAUGGAGGCAACUCUGACCCAGCCAUGCCGCGUGCAGGAUGAAGGCGUUAUGCGUUGUAAACUGCUUUUAUAUAGGAAGAAAGAGUUCUUGCGAGAACAGUUGACGGUACUAUAUGAAUAAGCACCGGCUAACUCCGUGCCAGCAGCCGCGGUAAUACGGAGGGUGCAAGCGUUGUCCGGAUUUAUUGGGUUUAAAGGGUGCGUAGGCGGUUUAUUAAGUCAGUGGUGAAAGACGGUCGCUCAACGAUUGCAGUGCCAUUGAUACUGGUAGACUUGAGUGAGAUUGAGGUAGCUGGAAUGGAUAGUGUAGCGGUGAAAUGCAUAGAUAUUAUCCAGAACACCAAUUGCGUAGGCAAGUUACUAAGUCUCAACUGACGCUGAGGCACGAAAGUGUGGGUAUCAAACAGGAUUAGAUACCCUGGUAGUCCCACACUAGUAACGUAUAGAUAACUAACUAGUUGGUUUACGUUAAUACAGUAGGUACGAGAGAAGUACGUUAAGUUAUACACCGUGGGAGGUACGCCGGCGACGGUAGAACGUACGAAGUAGAAGUUAGUACGGCGUAGAGACGUUACGGCCGACGGACGACGACGAGGGGAGGUAGG